rnacentral:rRNA from 1 species
AUUGAACGCUGGCGGAAUGCUUUACACAUGCAAGUCGAACGGCAGCACGGACUUAGGUCUGGUGGCGAGUGGCGAACGGGUGAGUAAUGUAUCGGAACGUGCCCAGGCGUGGGGGAUAACGUAGUGAAAAUUACGCUAAUACCGCAUCCGAUCUAUGGAUGAAAGCGGGGGAUCGCAAGACCUCGCGCAAUUGGAGCAGCAAAUAUCAGAUUAGGUAGUUGGUGGGGUAAAGGCCCACCAAGCCAACGAUCUGUAGCUGGUCUGAGAGGACGACCAGCCACACUGGAACUGAGACACGGUCCAGACUCCUACGGGAGGCAGCAGUGGGGAAUUUUGGACAAUGGGCGAAAGCCUGAUCCAGCCAUUCCGCGUGCAGGAUGAAGGCCCUCGGGUUGUAAACUGCUUUUGUACAGAACGAAAAGGUUUCUACUAAUACUAGGAGCUCAUGACGGUACUGUAAGAAUAAGCACUGGCUAACUACGUGCCAGCCGCCGCAGUAA